GUCUUGGGAUUUAAUUACUUAAGCUAAUUUUGUAUGUUUAGGUAUUGAUUUGUUAAACAGCUUCAAUAGAAGCAAUAUGUAAUCUAUAUAUAAUAGCAAACCAGUUUUUGUUUUCUUUGACAUCAGCAUUUUUUUAUAGGAAAAUAAAAUGAAGAUCUAAUGGUUCAGAUUGAUUUGGUAUUUAAUCCAAGGGUUCUACUUCUUCUAGGUGAUGUCAUCUUUUUUUAAAAUAGAAUUUAAUCCAAUGGUUGAGAUUACCAAAGCUUUUAAUCCAAGGGUCGAGAUUAAACUUACCUUUUGUAUAGACAAAGACGACGCUACCAAAGCUUUGUGUCGGUAGCAAAGCAUUGCGUCUGUUAAUGGAGUCGUGACCCAUGUUGCCAUUAACAUUCUCGAAUGUUGGAGCUUCAUUUAUGAAGACAAGAUUCCAACACCAGAAGCUGAUGGUGUCUGUUUCAUCUGGUCUGAACCGAGGCUGGUUGUCAUAAUUGCUGCUAGACUUUGAAGUGAAUACAUCGUGAUUGUGGUUGCUCUUGGAUCAUGUGAUGCCUGCCUCUCCACGUGUUUUCUCACUGGGCAUCCAGAAGAUGUGCACUUGUAGUAGCUCUUACAAAAAGCCAAAGGAACAUUACGAAGCAUAAUAUCUUCCAUAUUCCAAACCCAGUUCCAAAGGGAAUCAAGAACUUUAUGCACAAACUAAACAACUAGCCCUUGAAGACAAAAAUCAAGCUUUUUCUGGCUAUCAUCUUGAACUACAAGUUUUGCUUUUGUAUGUUCGUUGAGAGGAAAGAGUGUCGUGGUCAUACGAACCUGGAAUUUGAGUAUCCCCUUACGACGUUCUGCCCAUACUCAUCCCACAUAUUUCCAUCAUACAGUAUGACAAUCGUACCAAGAAUUUGAAAAACAACCCGAGGCUCCCGAAUGGGUUUCACAAGUGGAGUUGUUUCCAUGAUCCCGUCCAACCUCCUGCAUAAAGUUAGAAGAAAGUUUUGUUCAUGUCAAAUCACUGUUACAAAGCAAGCAUCAUCUUCCUGGUCGUCUCUAUUCUUAUUUGACACCUUAACUUCACCACCCCCGUCAGUUGUAGGAUGUUAUUCAGGAUUACCAGUUUGCUCAAUGGCCUGUGACAAGUUGUAGAUCGCCAGAGCCCUUCUCUGUAUGCAGGGAAAAAAAAGUAGAAUAAACAAAUGUAAUUACAGGUUUUGCCAAGGAAAGUGCAUGCUAUCAUAUCUAAAAUUUUAGUUUAAGUUACCUGGAGAAUACUUACUGCGUCUUCAACGAAACUGCCAAGACGGCUUAAAUGCUGAUUGGAUAAGCUUUGUUCUCCAUCCCAAAAACAUAUCCUUGACCACCAUAUUCGAAGUAGAAUAAUGCAGAAACAUCCUUUCACAUGCUUUAUCAAAAAUUGAUCAAUGCACUUUUUCACAUAUCUAUCUUUUUAAUUUCUAAACGACACAUUUUUAA